GACUCCACACAGGGUACGGGUACCCCGGUUCUCAGCCCUAUGGAGGGUCAGGUGCCUCGCAAGGGGCUCCGUUUCAAGGAACCCAGUUUACCUCUAUGACACCAGCUGCAGGGACUUUAGGAUCACAACAGUUCACCGGAGCGGGGCCUUCUUCGUAUCACCCUAUGCCGCCACCAGGAGGAUAUCAAGGAGUUUAUUCCUAUCCACCACCACCACUACCUCCAACACAGGGGUGGUCUCAAGACAACGACGAGGCCUCCAUCGACGACUUUACACGGUUGUUUGCUACGCCUGCCCAGGACGAUGAUCCCAGCUUGCAUACACCUCUGGCUCAGUUAUGCCGUCCUGCCAGAGACGUGAAGCCACCGGACCGUCAUAGCUACCCUACAGAUCACGUAUACGCACAAC